rnacentral:tRNA from 3 species
CGGGGAUUAGCGCAGUGGUAGCGCGCAGCGUUCGGGACGCUGAGGCCGCGAGUUCGAAUCUCGCAUCCCCGACAA